rnacentral:lncRNA from 1 species
AAUUCUAAUCUUCUAUGACAUUUACUGUAAGGACUGAGAAUUUGACUGUAUAGUUAGAUUCUCUAUUGACGAUGUUUUUGUGUGUAAUUUAAUUACAAAAGCACUCGUCAAGUUUCGGGAGAAAAUGAGUUAGAACGGAGAUUUUACGGGAUCUUCAGUAUUCACUUAAAGUGAAUAGUAACUCGGUUUUCCGGAGAGGCCAAUGCAUGAAGUUGGCUUCUGGUGUGUAUCGGACUCCGUUCAUAGC